CCGAAUUCUGACUAGUAAUUCUCUACAACUUCGCAUCUUUACCUCUCUUUUCCAUUACUUCUCUUGGGCGUAGAAUCCACAGUUUCUUGGGAAUUCAAAGACAUGCACGAAUUGUGAACUUUCAGUGGGGUGCCAUUGGUAACCCUUGUAGUCCCCACCUGGCCAUAACCUUCCAAUGGAAGUACCAUUUGCGCCAGAGCAACAGCUUCGCUCAGGACAUCCUCGAGGUCGGGCUUAAAGAGCUCGAAGGUUUUUAGACUUUUUGCGAAGUAUUAAAAGAAAGGGUAUAUACUGAUAAUACUUUGGAGAAUGUAAAUAUUUAUGUUUUAUGUCUUUUUGUUUUAAGGUUGUUGAGUAAGGAAUAAUUGUAAAAAUACUGAAAUGUUUUGGGAGUUAUGUAGAUUUAUGAAAAUGCAGGUGAUGGAUGAUUACUAUGGAUUAUAGAUAGGAAGUAGUAAACUCUGGUCUUAUGGUAUUAUAUGUAUGGAGAUUAUAUUUAUGUU